GCAACCUCCACCUCCCAGGUUCAAGCGAUUCUCCUGCCUCAGCCUCCCAAGUAGCUGGGAUUACAGAUGAAGUUGGUAUGUGGCUUCAUUCUGGAACCUCGGCUGUUGAUUCAACAGAGAAAGGGACAGAUUGUUCCAACCGAGCUUGCACUUCACUUGAAGGAAACUCAGCCUGGAUUGCUUGUGGCUUCAGUUCUGGGCUUGCAGAAGAACAACAAAAUUGGAAUUGAAGAAGCAGA
rnacentral:lncRNA from 1 species